GACUGGGGGCAUUUUGUGUUGGCUGGUGCCGGAGGAACAAGAUGGCGGCGUCGGCGGAGUGACAGGGGUUCCUCCGGGCGGGAGCCGGCGGCAGUGGUGGCAGAGGUAGCGCCGCCCUGACUCAUCGUACCCCUUUUCCAGCCCCGCGACACGUCGCAGCGAAAGCGAGGCAGAGGCGGCCGCCCAGAAGCAAGUGGCCCAGCCUAGUAACCGCGAGAAUCCCCUCACAAACUGCAGUCUGGCAAAAAAACCUGACUGAACGGCGGUCAUCAGGUUCUCUAGGCCUGUUCUGUGCUCUGUAACGCCAAGAAAGACCUCCGUUUUCCGUUUUCUGCCGCCCUCCUCCUCAGACUUGCUCCGUGGACCAGCCCCAGAGGCCCCGUCGUUCCCACAUAGGUGUCGGGGCUUGGCCCCAGCGCUCCAUCUUCGUUUCUCAGGAUGGCGAGCAGCAGCGGCUCCAAGGCCGAAUUCAUUGUCGGAGGGAAAUAUAAACUGGUACGGAAGAUCGGGUCUGGCUCCUUCGGAGACAUUUAUCUGGCGAUCAACAUCACCAACGGCGAGGAAGUGGCAGUGAAGCUAGAAUCUCAGAAGGCCAGGCAUCCCCAGUUGCUGUACGAGAGCAAACUCUAUAAGAUUCUUCAAGGUGGGGUUGGCAUCCCCCACAUACGGUGGUAUGGUCAAGAAAAAGACUACAAUGUACUAGUCAUGGAUCUCCUUGGACCCAGCCUCGAAGACCUCUUCAAUUUCUGUUCAAGAAGGUUCACAAUGAAAACUGUACUUAUGUUAGCUGACCAGAUGAUCAGUAGAAUUGAAUAUGUGCAUACGAAGAAUUUUAUACACAGAGACAUUAAACCAGAUAACUUCCUAAUGGGUAUUGGGCGUCACUGUAAUAAGUGUUUAGAAUCUCCAGUGGGGAAGAGGAAAAGAAGCAUGACUGUUAGUACUUCUCAGGACCCAUCUUUCUCAGGAUUAAACCAGUUAUUCCUUAUUGAUUUUGGUUUGGCCAAAAAGUACAGAGACAACAGGACAAGGCAACACAUACCAUACAGAGAAGAUAAAAAUCUCACUGGCACUGCCCGAUAUGCUAGCAUCAAUGCACAUCUUGGUAUUGAGCAGAGUCGCCGAGAUGACAUGGAGUCAUUAGGAUACGUUUUGAUGUAUUUUAAUAGAACCAGCCUGCCAUGGCAGGGACUAAAGGCUGCAACAAAGAAACAAAAAUAUGAAAAGAUUAGUGAAAAGAAGAUGUCCACUCCUGUUGAAGUUUUAUGUAAAGGGUUUCCUGCAGAAUUUGCCAUGUACUUAAACUAUUGUCGUGGGCUGCGCUUUGAGGAAGCCCCGGAUUAUAUGUACCUGAGGCAGCUAUUCCGCAUUCUUUUCAGGACCCUGAACCACCAAUAUGACUACACAUUUGAUUGGACAAUGUUAAAGCAGAAAGCAGCACAGCAGGCAGCCUCUUCCAGUGGGCAGGGUCAGCAGGCCCAAACCCCCACAGGCAAGCAAACUGACAAAACCAAGAGUAACAUGAAAGGAACGUGGCUGGUUACUCAGCAACGUAGCCCAAAUCACAGGGGAAGACCUUGAAAUGCCUGGAGAGACUGAUCUGCUCUGAAAACGCUCAAUCCAAAGAAGUGCCAGGAAGCUGCAUCUGCUUGCUGCGAUCUCCAGUUUUUGUCAUCUUUUUUCACUGUCAACAAAAAAGCUGGAUAGAAGAGAACUAAAUAUCUCAGCAGGAAUUGAAGAUCAAAGUGCAAGAACUAGUUUAUUUUGAUUUGGAUGGAGUUCAUAUCUCCAAAGCUUGCUGGACCUAUCAGACAUUUCACCUCGUCAGAUCACCUGGGUGAUACCACAACAGCCAGAAGUCCUUGAAGAGUACAGUGUUGCUGUGACUCAGUGGUGUAUGAUGCAGACCAUCUACCAGUUGGGGAAGGAAUCAGUUGUAACAGGAACAAAGGGAUUUAUCUCGUAUUUUGGCUGAUGUUACAGUGAAGAUGGGUUCUUGAACUUCUGGAAGCCGGGAGACAUCACCCAAAUUGCAAGAUAAAAGCCAAGGACUAAUGCACACUGGGGAAAGGAAUGCUUAGUACUUGAAGAUUGAAUGUUGAAUACCUGCUGAACGUUCAUAUUGAGGUUUUUUCCUAAACAAACUUCAGUAACAUCUUAAGACAAUUCACUUGGAGAAAAAAUUGAUCCCUGGGUGGAGUAUCUACCAUUGGCCCAUCUGAAGCGUUAAAUCUGGAUUUGACUGCUCUGUUCUACCAGGAACAUUGUCAGGCUAACCAUUAACCAACCUCUAAAUUAUUGUAGUCGUUAAUUAACCCAGCAGUUCCUCAGAUAUCAUAUUAAAAGAUGAACAUGCAUAAUUCUUAUCUAGAAGUUCCCUAUUGUUAAAGACACAGAAUUUUGUAAUAUAUUGACUGACAGUAUAGUUAUGCUUCCUUUUUAGUUUGUCAUUGGCAGUGGUUUUCCACUUUUUAAGCCCCGUUUGGUUUAUUCAGUGUAAUAAAUUAUUCAAUAUAAUGUAUUUCCAUUUGCAGUGAAAACCCAGCAAUUUUAGUAUUUGUGAAAACAUUCUUCCUUUUUCAUGUGUUUCUAAGCAUGAAUUGAAGAACAAAAGAAGCAGAGCAGAUGAUCGGAGCAGCAUUUGUUUCUCCCCAAAUCUAGAAAUUUUAGUUCAUAUGUACACUAGCCAGUGGUUGUGGACAACCAUUUACUUGGUGUAAAGAACUUAAUUUCAGUAUAAACUGGCUCUGGGCAGCACUGGUGAUGCUGUGUUCUAAGUUGUAGCCGCUGUAAUUGUGAAUAUUAAUUGAGAUAGUGAAACAUGGUGUCCAGUUUUCUAUUGCAUUUUUUCAAGUGGAAAAGUUAACUAAAUGGUUGACACACAAAUUGGUGGAGAAAUUGUGCAUAUGCCAAUUUUUUUGUUAAAAACUGUUAUUUUGAACUAUACUGCUUUGAGAUGUCAUUUCAGAAGAACGGCAUGAACAGUCUUCACCCACAGUUGUGAUGGUUGUAAAUACUCACAAUUGUGUGUUCUUAGGGUUUUCCCAUCCCUGGGGUUUGCAAGUUGUUCACUUAAAACAUUCUUAAAAUGAUUGGCUUCUUGUUUGCAAGCCAGCUGAUACGGUAGCAACCAAAGAUUCCAGUGUUUGAGCAUAUGAAAGACUCUGCCUGCUUACCUGUGCUAGAAUAACAGCAUCUAAAGUGAAGACUUAAGAAAAACUUAGUGACUACUAGAUUAUCUUUAGGACUCUGCAUUAACUCUAUAAUGUUCUUGGUAUUAAAGAAAAAAGCGUAUUUGUCACAGAAAAUUAGUUACCAUCUUACAACUGAACAUGUAUGUAUGUUGCUUAGAUAAAUGUAAUCACUGUAAACAUCUAUAUGACCUGGGUUUUUGUUUUUAUUUUGAAAUGGGAGCUUUUUUGUUUACAGGUUCAUUAAAAACUAAAAACUUUCUGUAAGGAAAUGAGAUUUUUUUUUAAACAACAAAAAAAUGCCUUGCUAACUCACUAUGAAAUCAAAAUCUCCCCAGUUUUUAAUAGACUUCUUCAAGCCAUUUGUUAAGUAUGUUCCUUUGCAAAUCAUUUUAGAUUUAGUGCUACAACUUUUCCUCAAAAUUUUUUUUUUGUUUUAAAGUUUUUUUUUUUUCCUUUGGUCUAAGGGGAAAGGCAUUCUUUCAUUUUUCUUUUUUUAAUGACUUGCAGCCACGAUAUCUAGUACUGCAACUGCCAGGACUUGGUAUUGUAACUCCUGCUGCCUCUGACUUAACAGCUGGGCUGAUUUUCGUAAUAAGAUUAAAAGCGUUAAAGGGUUUAACUACAGAAGGAAGUUUUUCUUUAAAAUCUUUGUGAACUGGCUAUAACCAGAUUGAUUCUUAUUCUUGGAGCACAUCACACUAUGUGAGGUUCAUGUGAUUGCUGACCUCCCUGGCCCCACCCACUUCUAUAGGUUAUCUCUGCGUGGGCUUCCUCUCGCAUUAUUUCUGAGCUCUUUCUUUUUCUCUGACCCAAGAGAAAGAAAACUUAUUGAUGAUAAUUCUUUAAAUAGUGUAAUUUAUUCGUUUAUAGCAUGUCGGAAUAAAUUAAAAGAACAUUUGUGUGAAAAUGAAGCCGGAAGCCUAUUGUGUAAAUGUGGGUAUUUUGUACAAUAACCUUGAAACUGUAAAUUGAUAUUGUUUGGUCAGAUUGUCAGGUUUAAUUUGUUUCUGUUUUUUUAAUUCUUAUUUCAUUUGAAAAAUACUUUAGCAAUAAUUAAUUCCAUGGUUAACCACAUUCUGCGAUUAAGGAUGUAUUAGUACCGUAAUACUGCAGAAAUCUUAAUGAGUGUGAACUUUUGGGGGUAGGCAGCUUCUUUGUUUCUUUUCUAUUCACCUUUGUCAGUUAAGAUAUUUGUUUCUUGACUAAUAAACCCUUUGAUACUUUUAGCCAGAAAUCAGUCUCAUAAAGCUAUUUUUGAGUAUAGUUUGUGUAAAAUAAAAAUGUUUAGCUUUGGUAUUAACUUUUCCAAGCUGAACUCCCUCUAGCAAGAUAUUUUUCAGUGCUUUUAUUUACUAUGCACUUAGACUAUGCACUUUUUCUGAAAUAUUUUUGUAACACUUAACUUUUUUGUAUUUUUGCCAUUUGAAAAGGUUGUGGUGUAGUUGGUCUGUAAUUAAGUUGCAGGUUUAAAACUGCUGUUAGCUUUGUAAAUCAAAUAUAGGUGUUUUUGUCCUGGUAUAUUGUCAUUCCAUCUGCAGCUGGAGCUGGAAUCCCAUUGACCUUCUAGCUACCAUUCAUUUUCUUCACAGUUCACAAAAGAAGAAUGUGAAAUUCAGUGAAUGCUGUUAUUAAUCCUGUCUGGAGAUGAAUCUCAUUUCACCAAAUUUAAAUUAUGUUUUUCCACUUAAAUGAUGAUAACAAGUUGAAGACACAUCACUCUGAAAUUGGAAGACCUCACCACUUAAGGCUCCACAGUGGCUUACUCAGCUGAACUCUAGGUUACCACUCUUUACUUUGUUCACCCAUUGGGGGGGGUGUGGCUUUUUUAAAUGUUGGGAGAUGGCCAUUCUAACUACUGUUGAAUGUCUCUGUUUUGGGAAGGUAUACUAAGAAAAUAAAGAAGAAUGUAUAUGAAGGGA